rnacentral:rRNA from 1 species
AUAUAAUUUAUUUAUUAAUUAAUUAAUUUUUUAAAAUAAUUUAUUAAAAAUAAUUAUAGAUAUUUAUAGUUUUAGUAUUUUUUAAUAAAAAAAUAAUUUUAAUUAUAGUUAAAUAGUAUUGUAAAAGAAAAUUUAAAUAAAUUGAAAAAUAAUAUAUUUAAAAAGAAAAUUUAAUUUAUUGUAUCUUGUGUAUCAGGGUUUAUUAAAUAAAAAUUAAAUAAUUAAUUUUCUCGAUUUUAAAAGAGUUAAUAUAUUAAAAAAGUUAAUGUAAUAAAAUUAUUUUUAAUAAUAUAUUAGAAAUGAAAUGUUAUUCGUUUUUAAAGGUAUCUAGUUCUUUAAGAAAUUAAUUUAAUUUAAAAAUUUUAAAUUAUUUAAUUAAAUUAUUAAUUAAAUAAAUUUUUAAUUUUAAUAUUUUAUGGGAUAAGCUAUAAAAUAAAUUUUUAAAAAUAAAUAAAUUAAAAAUAAAAAUAUAAAUUUAGAAAUAGUUAUUAUUAAUAAAAAUGUUAUAAUUUAUUUUAUAUUAUUAAUUAUUUAUUAAAUUUUAAGUAUUUAUUAAAGUAUUUAUUAUAAUUUUGAAAAUAAAAAAAUAAUGAUAAAAUUAGUAUAUAAUUAAUUUAAUAAUAUUUUUUAUUGAAAAGUUUUUUUAAAGAAUUCGGCAAAAAUAGUAUUUGCCUGUUUAACAAAAACAUGUCUUUUUUGAAUUUUUAAAAAGUCUAACCUGCCCACUGAAUUAUUUAAAUGGCCGCAGUAUUUUAACUGUGCAAAGGUAGCAUAAUCAUUAGUCUUUUAAUUGAAGGCUGGUAUGAAUGGUUGGACAAGAUAUUAGCUGUUUCAAAAAAAAUUUUUAUAAAAUUUUAUUUUUUAGUCAAAAAGCUAAAAUUUAUUUAAAAGACGAGAAGACCCUAUAAAUCUUUAUAUUUAAAUUAUUAUAAUUUUAUAGUAAUUUUAAAUUAUUAUAAUUAAUAAUAUUUUAUUGGGGUGAUAGUAAAAUUUAAUAAACUUUUAAAAAUAAAUUUCAUUAAUUUAUGAAUUUUUGAUCCAUUAUUAAUGAUUAAAAAAAUAAGUUACUUUAGGGAUAACAGCGUAAUUUUUUUUGAGAGUUCACAUUAAAAAAAAAGAUUGCGACCUCGAUGUUGGAUUAAGAGAUAAUUUUAGGUGCAGUUGUUUAAAAUUUAAGUCUGUUCGACUUUUAAAUUCUUACAUGAUCUGAGUUCAAACCGGUGUAAGCCAGGUUGGUUUCUAUCUUUAAAAAAUUAAAAUAUUUCAGUACGAAAGGACCUAAUAUUUAAUAAAUUAUUAUUUAAUUAAUUGAAUGUAAUUAAUUUUAAUAAAAUUUA